GGAUUCAAGAGCCCUCCCUUAGGAGGAAUAGGGGAUUCACAAAUCCCACAUUUCUCCUAUUGGUGUUCUCAAUUUCAAAAGACAAUUUUAUAUUGGGUAACCACUUUGUGUGUUCAAUGUCAUGCAUCCUUUGUUGAUAGUUGUUUAGUUCAUGUUUCUUUGUUAAUAAUUCUCUUAUAUAUAUAUUCCCUUUAGUAGCGACGAGCGAAAUGGGAGCAUCCUAGACUGUGAAAAUGAGGUUGUGGGAAAGCACGAUAUAAGCUCAGUGUUGUUAGGUGAAGCAAUUGAUUCUUGUACCGUAGAUGGUGAGAGUCCAGUAGCCAAAAGCAUCAUUGGAUUACGCUCUAACCCGAGUAGAAUGGGGCAUGUGGAAUCUCAUGUGAAUCAGCAAGGACCACCUUGCAAGGCUAAAUACUCUUGGGUGACCGAUAGCGAAGUAGUACCGUGAGGGAAAGGUGAAAGAACCCCCAUCAGGGACUGAAAUAGAACAUGAAA
rfam:Picea glauca, whole genome shotgun sequence.